CCUGCUGUGUUUUGUUGAAGAAGCAUCUUCAGAGGAAUUGCCUCUUUCUUUUUCCAGGUCACCUGCCUUUAUGGAGCAUGUUCUGUCUUGACUGCAAGAAGGGGAAGAAGGGGGUGAGGCUGAAAAUGAAAAUGGCAGAUUCCAGAGAUGAGAGAGGAAGAGGUAAAUGCUGGGGAAUUAAAAUGGUGUGAUUGGAGUGAAAGCAGGAUGAACUACUACGAAGAGAGGCAGUGAGACAUGUUUCAAAGGAAACUGGAUGCAGGAGUGUUGCAGAUACUGUACUCCAUUCGAGAUGCAAACCAGUGAGCAAAGUGAAGGCCUGGCCAUGCAAAUGCAUCUCUGACAGCUUCCUGUAGCUUACUAAUUUGAGCUUUGGCAGGCCACCAGAGGAAGUGAAUCCCUGAGACUCUCCUGAUGCACAAAGAGCAAACAAAAGGAGCAGGCAAGGAGGACACAAGCAGUGGGAAUGAAUCCUUGUGAUCUCCUACAUGGACAAGAUUGCAAAAUAGGCAAA